GUCUACGGCCAUACCACCCUGAACGCACCCGAUCUAGUCUGAUCUCGGAAGCUAAGCAGGGUUGGGCCUGGUUAGUACUUGGAUGGGAGACAAAUGAGAACCUCAGUUCCCACUGAUG
ensembl:rRNA 5S_rRNA 5S ribosomal RNA